GCGGACAGAGAGAGGACAGUCAGAACCCCUUCUGCCCAGGCCUUCCCUUCCCACUUUGACCCAGUAGCUCAGGAUUGCUCACAUGGCAUGGUGCAUGCACACAUCUGGCCUGCCGCGCCUUGUCCACCCUUAGGCCCUAUGUCUCUGUGUGAGGCAGGAUGGUGUCCUGCCUAACAAAGUGUACCAAGUCCCAGGCUCCUCUGAGCCAGUCUGGUAAGACAUCCCACCAGUGCUGGAUCGCUUGGAACCAAUCCGACAGCACAGAUGAGUGACCCCCAAGUCUUCAGGGGUCAAACCAGCCAGAGAUACCAGGGAAAGUGGAGGUUUCUGAUGCUGUCCCUGGGAUGAACUUCUGGGCCCAGGACUGCCCCCACUUUGUCCCUUCUUAGCAGUUUCUCAGUGACCCAGUGUCUGCUCUCCAGGGCAGCAAGAGCUGUGUGUUCCAGUUUCCCCAAGCUGAGCACCCCUGUACUCAACUCACAGGAAUGCAAGCACUCCACAAUGGUGGUGGCGUCGAUGAAAUAGCCCCCACAGAGGGCACACAUGAGAUGAGGAACCAGGCACAUGUCUGAGGCUGGCUGUCUCUGGGUCUCCCUCUAAGUGUUCACUGGGCGUUGGGGGCUCAGGAGGUUUCUCCCACUUUGAGAAACAAGGUCGUGGACCAUCUCAGAAGCAGCAAGAAGGACUGAAGUCAGACCGUAAGAAACACUAACCAACUCUUGAAGAUGGAUGUGGGAGGGCAAGAAAAUGGAAGAUCUUCCUGGGAGCUGGGUGGGAUGGCACGCCUUUAAGCCCAGCACUCAGGAGGCAGAGACAGGCAGAUCUCUGUGAGUUCGAAGCCAGCCUGGUCUACAGAGAGAGUUCCAGGACAGGCUCCAAAAGCUACACAGAGAAACCCUGACUUGAAACUUCCCCCAACCCCUAGAAAAGAUCUUCCUGGGACACAUGGGCCUGUGAGAGGGCUCACCAUACCUGGUGCUUGCAGCCAAGCCUUGUGACCCACACGAUGGAAAGAGAAAAAAAAAAAACCCAAAUAGCUGCAAGUUGUCCUUUGCGCACACACACACACACACACACACUCUCUCUCUCUCUCUCUCUCUCUCUCUAAAUGCAAUAAAAAAUUUUAGCAAUAUUCCUGAUUCCAACCCACAUCCAUUCAAGUUGUCAAAUAUUUACCGAGUACUAACAGCUAUGAGAAAUCGUCCAGACAACUCAAUUCACAGACCAAAAUGAAGAAUGAAUUAACGCUGCUCCGUCAAUGAGAGAUUCGUCAUGGGGAAGCCUGCUUGAGAGGUACUGGGACACAGGCCUGUCGCUUGUCCUUUUGGCUAGGUCCCUCUAACGUCCCCGGACACAUACAGCUCCUUGCAUGUCUCCAUGCGCUGACCCUUUGGACUUCCAGCUGAGAACCCUAAGGCUGGUUUUCAUUAUGUCCCAUGUUAUGAAGAAGCUGUAGGCCCAGCCUGGCACUGGAUUCUACAGGUAGUGUAAGAGCCUGGCAAAAAGACCUUUACUGCACUGUGGUGAGAACCACUCCAUGGUGCCCCCACCCCCCACCCUCAAAGCGCACUAAGUGCUCUCCAGUGCGCGCGUGGUCCAGGAACCCACUUUCAUGAACACACAGAAUGGCUUCAUGUGCCACUGGGAUCCCACCACACCCCAGCCUGGUGACUUCUGCCACCUGUGUUCAUAGGCUCCCCUAGACCCCUGCCAACACUGGGCAGAGAGCAUUCUCUGUCCCCAGCUCUCCAAUGCACCUGGCCAGACCCCAGCAGGCCAAGGUCAUUUCAAAGCUGACUCUGGCUCUGGACUGGAGGAGGCUGCCUCUUUCCUUCUCUCCCAGAGCAGAAGCCCAGGAGCUGGGCUUGAGAGGCUGGCCAAGCCCCAACCGCACCUUUACAACAUACAACCUCCUUUCUUUUCCAGAAAGAUUUCUAAAGCCACCACACUGGCUUUUCUAGGACAAGAAAUUCACAGCCAGGAUCAGCAGUUUCUAUAGAGACCCCAGGAUGAGCCUGGCCAGGACCCAAACAGCCAAUAAGGCCCCGGGGCACCUGGCCAGAGACUGGGAAAAAUGGAGAGACACAAAGGCCACACUUGGGACAGACACCGAGUUGCAGAAAAGAAGGGGUGAACAAGGCAGCCCGAGGCGGCCACCCCUGGCCUGCAAAGUUUCUGCCCCCAUGGUGGCCCUAGCUGGUCCUCCCUGCGUGGGUCCCCCUUCACAAUUUCUAAGAGCCUGCUGGCUACUCUACUGUUUAGUUGUUUCCAUGGUAACAUAGUCCCUGGCAAGCAGCCCAAAUAUUAUUACAACCAUCCAGAGGACAGAACAAACUCCAAGUGGCUGUCUCUUUGAGCGUGGGUAACAGCCACCGUGUGGACGUGCUGUCUGGGAGGCCAACGGUGCUUCAUGUGCCUGCUUGCUUGCGUUGUGUGUGUCUGUGUCCGGAGACACACCGAGACAGAAGCAAACUGUAUCCGAGUCGGAUCCAGCCAGGGAAGCUAGGCUGCUAGGGUAAGUACCCCCCACACCUGGUACACAUAUGCAAUACACACACACACACACACACACACACACACACACACACACACACACACAC